ACUCAAAGGAAUUGACGGGGGCCCGCACAAGCGGUGGAUCAUGUGGUUUAAUUCGAAGCAACGCGAAGAACCUUACCUAGGUUUGACAUCCUCUGAAUGUUCUAGAAAUAGUUCAGGCUCGCAAGAGACAGAGAGACAGGUGCUGCAUGGCUGUCGUCAGCUCGUGUUGUGAAAUGUUGGGUUAAGUCCCGCAACGAGCGCAACCCUUGCCUUUGGUUGCCAUCAUUAAGUUGGGCACUCCAGAGGGACUGCCGUCGUUAAGACGGAGGAAGGUGGGGAUGACGUCAAGUCCUCAUGGCCUUUAUAUCUAGGGCGACACACGUGAUACAAUGGUAGGUACAAAGGGCAGCAAAGUAGCGAUACCAAGCUAAUCCCAAAAAGCCUAUCUCAGUUCGGAUUGAAGUCUGCAACUCGACUUCAUGAAGCUGGAAUCGCUAGUAAUCGCGGAUCAGAACGCCGCGGUGAAUACGUUCCCGGGCCUUGUACACACCGCCCGU
rnacentral:rRNA from 1 species